CCUCUCUUCCUGCAGUUACUUUUCGGUUUCUAUGACCCGUGUCACCUUCCUAGUAACCCUGGCUGGCCACUUCGGAAUUAUCUAGCACUUAUUCGCUCAAAGUGGAACCUCGAGACUGUUUGGUUCUUCUGCUACAGAGAGAGCCGCGGUUUCGCUGACAUGAGCCUUUCUCUUGUUGGUCAAGCCUCCAUUACACUCUCUUCUGAUUCAUCUGUACCUAACUCAGUGGGAUGGGAGCUUAACAAAGGAAAACGAGCUCCCAGAUCCAUUAGCCUUGCUAACUCCAUGGAUCCAACCAGGUACAUGUUUGCUCUCUGUCAAUGCUUUAGAUAACCAAAUAGAUAAGAUCUGAUUAACGAUCCUUUUCGCAGGUUGGCUGUUUCUGCUUGUGAUUUAAACUUGAAGUUAAUGAGAUGGCGUGCGUUACCGUCUCUAGACUUAAACGUUCUGUCCUCUGUCAAAUGCCUUCUUCUUGGAGCUGGUACAUUGGGUUGCCAAGUUGCUCGUACUCUUAUGGUAAUGCAUCAACGAGAAUGCUGACACUAAACAAUCUUACAAACUCACUUACACCUCUAUCCUUUUCCAUUUAGGGUUGGGGGAUCCGCAACAUAACCUUUGUUGAUUACGGCAAAGUAGCUAUGUCUAAUCCAGUCAGACAAUCUCUCUACACGUUUGAAGACUGUGUUGGUCGUGGCGAGUUCAAAGCCGUUGCUGCUGUUAAAAGCCUUAAACAGAUCUUUCCAGCAGUGGAAUCUAGUGGAGUUGUUAUGGCUAUACCGAUGCCUGGACAUCCCAUCUCUAGCCAAGAAGAAGAAUCUGUUCUCGGUGAUUGCAAACGCCUUCGUGAUUUGAUUGAGUCUCAUGAUGCAGUGUUCUUGUUGACUGAUACAAGAGAAAGCAGGUGGCUACCUUCUCUUCUUUGUGCUAACGCUAAUAAGGUAACAACAUUUAACUCUGAUUCUUUCUUUUCUUGUUUUCUUGUUAUACAAGUAACACAAACUGUUUUGAUUUUGAAUUUUCAGAUUGCUAUAAACGCGGCUUUAGGUUUCGACAGCUACAUGGUAAUGCGCCAUGGUGCUGGCCCCAACUCGUUGUCUGAUGAUAUGCAGAAUCUUGAUAUUAACAAGACAGGAAGACAGAGACUUGGUUGUUAUUUCUGUAACGACGUUGUUGCACCUCAAGAUGUAAUAGUUCUUGGUUUAGACUUUGUUUUAUGUUACCUCAAGCUUUUGCUUGUGGUGAACUUAUUUUUUUGUUUUUACAUUUUGCAGUCAAUGACUGAUCGGACACUGGACCAGCAAUGCACUGUUACACGCCCAGGGCUAGCUCCUAUUGCAGGAGCUUUAGCCGUUGAACUCUUAGUCGGAGUUCUACAACACCCACUUGGGUAAGUCUUUUGAAAGUCUGACUCAGUCCACAGGCUUGUCUUCUUACAUGUGUUUUUCUUUUAUAGUAUCUAUGCAAAAGGAGACAACUCGAGUUCGAGUAAUGGAGGAAACUCCGAUGAAUCACCUCUCGGGAUCUUACCUCAUCAGAUUAGAGGCUCAGUUUCUCAGUUCUCACAGAUCACACUGCUCGGACAAGCCUCCAACAGCUGCACAGCUUGUUCUGAAACUGUAAGUCUCUACAUGAGAUCUUUCUUUACAAAACGUGGCUUGCACGGUUUCUUAUGGAUGUUAAAUUACGCGUGUUUCAGGUGGUGUCAGAGUAUAGAGAAAAAGGAAACAGUUUCAUACUUGAAGCUAUUAACCAUCCUACAUACCUGGAGGAUCUUACCGGUUUAACCGAGCUUAAGAAAGCUGCUAAUUCGUUUAGCCUCGAUUGGGAAGACGAUGAUGAUGACGAUGAAGCUGUAGAUAUGUAAUAAGUCAUUUUCAUUACAGGUUUUAUGAAUCAUAAGAUGGCUCGGAUAUGGUGGUCAUGUUGUAUUCUUGAUAAUCACAAGUGACUUGACCAUCAUUUUCGAAGUUAGUUUAAUAUCAUUCGCUAAUAAACAUGCAGUUAGUUGUCAUUCAUAGCAAGUGUUGAUUCAAGUCUUAUUAUUAUCAAAUAAAAUUAUUUUAUUUCUUUAUCAUGUUGAGUUCUUCCGAUUUAAACAGAUUAAAUUUUUUUCAAACAAUUAUAAUUAGAUGUUCAGUUAUAAAAGAUAACAUGUUGAAAAAUUAAACCAAGAUACACACAAUGUAUAACAUAACAUUGAAUACAAAUAGACUUAUACCACCAAUCUCAAAAAACUUUUAGGCUUUGAAUAUCGAGAAUGAAGAGGAACCCUAAUUAUAAAUGUUUGAAAUAUGUUUUCUUUUUCAUUCUUCUUCGUCCAUUUGUUUGUAGAGAAUUAUAGAAUAAAUCUAUUUCUUAUUAAUUUUGAUAAUGAACUAUCAUUCUUGUCAUUCCUAAAAUUUUAUUCUUAUUCAUUAUUUUCCUAUCCAUUCCUAUUGUUUCUAUGAUGGUUACCAGUCAGACCCUUAUAGUUGGAUCAUUUAUAAAGUAAUAAUAUGUUACAAAAUCAGACCAAGAAACGCACUACAUUGUGAAGAUGAAGCAAUAAGAAACAAGAUGGUUGGUUAAGUUCUCAAGACAAUGGAGAUACCACUACAAGAGACAAGCAUGCAUGGUUGGUUAAGGUCUCAAGACAAUGGAGAUGCCACUACAAGGGACAAGCAUGCAUGGUGGGUUAAGGUCUCAAGACAAAGGAGAUGCCACUACAAGGGACAAGCAUGUAUGGUGGGUUAAAGUCUCAAGACAAUGGAUUAUUAGUUUAUCAUAUCUCAUCUACCAUUUGCCAUACUUGUAACCCCUAUAUAUAUGGGAUGUUCCCAUAAGCAAAUUAAUCAAGCAAAUAAGAUUCUCCUUAUUUACUCUAUCUCUCUCUACUUUCUAGAUUAAACAUCUCUCUCUCUUGUUCUUCACUAUGUUCUUCAAUUUCUAACAUGGUAUCAGAGCAUCCAAGCUCUUGAACACCAAACUGCUUCCGCAAAUUUACUCUAUUCACCUUACUCUUUCACUUGUUUGGUUUACUUUCUUCAUUUCUAGAGAACAUAUCUUGGCUUCCCUUGUUUUCUCUCUUGCCUAGCCUCAGAAAUUCAAAUUUCUCCUUGGCAAAUUUUUUAUUUUUUACCCGCUGGACAAUAGCAAGCAAAGAUGGAGCAGCACAAGCUAGUUAGGAUUCCAGUCAUCCUGAAAGGUCCUAACUACAUUACCUGGUCGAGAUUGACCAGGACAGCUCUUGGAGGAAGAGGUCUAUGGGAGCACAUCACCACAAGUGAGGCCCCAAGACAAAUCACCCAAGGAGAAGAUGGCAAGGAGGUUGUAGUGGUAGAUGAAGGCAAAUGGGGUCAGGAGGAUCUCAUGGUGCUGUCUAUCUUGCAAGGCUCACUUGAUACUCCUAUCAUGGAGUCUUACUCACAUUGUGAGACUGCAAAGAAGCUAUGGGAUACCUUACACAAGGUAUAUGGCAACACUUCAAACCUCACCAGAAUUUUUGAGGUUAAGAGGGCAAUCAACAACUUACAGCAAGAGGAGAUGGACUUCACCAAGCACCUUGGGAAGUACAGCCAGCUGUGGUCUGAACUUGAGAUGCUGAGACCAAGUACCACUGAUCCUAGUACACUAGAAGAGAGGCGUGAGCAAGACAAGGUCUUUGGAUUGCUUCUCACACUCAACCCAAGCUUCAAUGAUGUACUUAAACACAUAUUGAGAGCUAAAGAGCUUCCAAGCUAUGAUGAUGAAAAAAAAAAAAAAAAAAAAAGAGAUUAAAAAGAUUCGGGCACCGAAGAUGAUACUUCAAUUCGCUCCAUUGAACAGCUCCGUCGACGAAGGUUUCUGGCACAGCUUUUCCUCUCUGAAACUCGAUAAGCUCGGAAUCGACGAUUCUCCGAUCUCCAUCACGGGUACGACCAAUUACCAAACUACCCCCCACAACAUCGAUUCCAAUAUAGAGAAGUCCAUAAUUCGAUGCAUUCACAUUGAUUUCAGCGAUCCCUUUAGGUUAGAGAACAAACAAACAAAAAAACGUUGAUACACAUUUUUGUAGAUUCAUCUUCACGAGUUUUUGAAUUGAAUAAAGUUUAAAACUUUAAUAUAUAACUCAUGUGGGGUUUGCUAUCAUCAUCCAGGUUGAAACUAUGUAUAGAUUCGUCUUCACGAGUUGGUUUUAUCUGAUUCUCGUGUAUAUGCCAUUGGAGAUUAGAAUGUGCUGAGGUAUUUUGUUUCUUUGGAUUGUGGAACUUGCAGGUUUCUAUGCACCGUGUUCUCAUCCACAAGUCUCAAACCAUCUGACUCUUCUUUCUUCAGAGUCAUUGCCUUCUUCUUCAGAUGAACAGUCAUCGACCGAGAAUACUAUUCACGGGAAUAGGAACAAGUGUCCUGUUCCAGGGACUCUCUACAACACCAACACCGUCGAAAGCUUUACUAAACUCGACAAACAAAGCUUGUUAAAAUCAGAAGCAAACAAGGUAUGUAUGAGUUUUGACUGUUGUUUUUUCCGACAGAAUAUCCAACUAAAACUGUUUGGUGAGUUUCAGAUUUGGGAAGAUAUUCAAUCGGGAAAGGCUCUCGAGGACUGUGCUUUGUUAUCUAGAUUCCUCGUUAUCUCGUUCGCUGACCUUAAGAAGUGGAGUUUCCGUUAUUGGUUUGCGUUCCCUGCACUUGUUCUUGAUCCUCCUGCAAGUUUGGUUGAAUUAAAGCCAGCUUCGGAGUAUUUUACUUCAGAAGAAGCAGAAUCAGUAUCUGCUGCGUGUAAUGAGUGGCGUGACUCAAGUUUAACAACUGGUACUCAACAACAUUCUCGUUCUACUUUGUUUAUUCUUGCUAUUCCCAUUCAACAAGUGGUUGCUGAAAACGUUUGUUACUUCUCUGUGUUAUGGCUAUUAGAUGUUCCAUUCUUUUUGGUUUCGGUUUCGUCUGAUGAUUCAAAAGCUACCAUCACACCUCUUAAAGACUGGGAAGCCUGCCAAGGUGAUCAUCAUAAGGUAUGUGUAAACUAAUCUCUUUCAAAAGCGUUAGAACCAAUUAAAAACUUUACCUUGAUCUACCUCUCUUCCUGCAGUUACUUUUCGGUUUCUAUGACCCGUGUCACCUUCCUAGUAACCCUGGCUGGCCACUUCGGAAUUAUCUAGCACUUAUUCGCUCAAAGUGGAACCUCGAGACUGUUUGGUUCUUCUGCUACAGAGAGAGCCGCGGUUUCGCUGACAUGAGCCUUUCUCUUGUUGGUCAAGCCUCCAUUACACUCUCAUCUGAUUCAUCUGUACCUAACUCAGUGGGAUG
rnacentral:lncRNA from 1 species